rnacentral:rRNA from 1 species
ACAAGCGGUGGAGCAUGUGGUUUAAUUCGAAGCAACGCGAAGAACCUUACCAGGCCUUGACAUGCAGAGAACUUUCCAGAGAUGGAUUGGUGCCUUCGGGAACUCUGACACAGGUGCUGCAUGGCUGUCGUCAGUUCGUGUCGUGAGAUGUUGGGUUAAGUCCCGUAACGAGCGCAACCCUUGCCCUUAGUUACCAGCACGUUAUGGUGGGCACUCUAAGGAGACUGCCGGUGACAAACCGGAGGAAGGUGGGGGAUGACGUCAAGUCAUCAUGGCCCUUACGGCCUGGGCUACACACGUGCUACAAUGGUCGGUACAAAGGGUUGCCAAGCCGCGAGGUGGAGCUAAUCCCAUAAAACCGAUCGUAGUCCGGAUCGCAGUCUGCAACUCGACUGCGUGAAGUCGGAAUCGCUAGUAAUCGUGAAUCAGAAUGUCACGGUGAAUACGUUCCCGGGCCUU